AAUGAAGAGCCUCAGAUGUAUCCAUGCAUCUAUAUCACAGCAGUCGCAAUGUCCACUGUUGUAUAGUUAUUAAUUAAACAUUACUCACCAGAUGAAAUUAUUUUAUUACAAAUUGUUUAUUACACUUUAUAUUCAUAUUUUUACAUCAACAGGUUGUUUACAUUAUACAUAGUAUUUUAUUAUUGUUUAUGAUGAUGAUAUAUUCUAUAUUUUAAAACACAGAAUACUACAUUCCCUCCUUCCUUUAGAUGAAAGGAAUCAUGUCUUUAUAUCUUGAUGAUGGCUUGACGACUCUUCCACUCCUGGUGAUCACGGGUUCCUUGGUAGUCGGCAAGGGUGGAGAAACCUCUGGUGGCAACUGGUGAAGAGCCUCGGCAUCAAGUCUAUCUGAAACAACUGGGUUAAAUGUAGACCCUGUUCUACUUGAACUUGGUCGGUUUAAAGAAGUGUCCUUGUCUUGGUUUAAGGAAUUAUCAUCUGGUAUUUGUACAUCAGAAGAGUUGAGGUGUUCAAUUCUUGUUGAAUCUGAACUAAGAUUUUCCUGGCUCUCUUCUGGAAUCAAGUCAGAAAUGUCUUGAUUGGUCUCUUGAGUAGGAACAUGUUUCAAAUGUUUAGCAUUUCUAUGAAUUAUUUUCCCAUUUUUAGUGUUGACUAAUUUAAAAGAAUUUAUUGAAGUGUUUUCAAGAAUGACACGAUGUUCUGAUCUGAAAUUUGAAUCAAAUUUUCCAUUAUUUGGAUUUGCCACAUAAACUAAAUUUCCAAUUUCAAAAUUAUGAGGACUAGCUUUCCGAAUUAUAUCAUUAUAUGCUUUCAUGUUUUCUUUGUAGACCAUAUUGAAUUCUUUGAUGUUGGAUUCAUCUUCUUCUGCAUCAUUAACAAGUGAGCUUAAUUUAGUUUUGAUUUCUCUUGAAAAUAAUAGGAAUGCUGGAGUCUUUCCUGUAGAUCUGUUUGGAGUAGUUCGGUAAGACAUUAAAAUUCUGGAUAAAUCUUCUUUCCAAUCUUUCCCUUCUUCAGAACUUGAAUUGAAUUGUUUCUUUAGAAAUCUAUGGAAUCUUUCUAUCUUCCCAUUACUUUUUGGGUAAUAGGGUGAGGCUUUGAUGUGCCUGAUUCCACAUUCUUUUAAAAAUCUUUCCAUUGAUGUACUUACAAACUGUAAGCCAUUAUCUGUUACAACUUCAUGUGGAUAACCAUGUCUUGCAAAAAUCUCCAUUAAUUUUUCAAUAAUUGUCUUGCUGGAAAUGUCUUCUAUUAUCAUUGCUUCAGGAUAUGAAGAAUAGUAGUCGAUCACUGUUAAAACAUAAUGAUGGCCAAUUGGACCAACUAUGUCAAUUCCAAGUUUCAUAUAAGGUUUUGAUGGUAACGGAACUAUUUGCAAUGGUUGAUCAUUUAUCAAUGGUUGAUUCCUUACACAAAUUGGACAGUUUCUUAUCAAAUUUUCAAUGUCAAAGUCCAUGUUUAUCCAAAAAUAUUUUUAUCUUAACAGUUGUUUGGUUCUUGUCAUUCCUUGAUGUGUUUCAUGUGCAAUUCUCAAGACUCUCUUUAUUAGUUUUGAAGGUAGCAAAAUUCUACUUCCUUUUAAGAUAAGAUUAUCAAAAAUUGAGAGUUCAUCUUUAAACUUAUAAAAACAUUUGAAUUCUUCAUUCAAAGGAUAUGGCCAAACUCCCUUUUGAACCAUAUCUUUCAGUUUUUGAAACAAAGGAUCUUGCUCUGUACAAACUUUUAUCUCUUUCAAAGACAGUGCUUGAAGCUCUUCAGAAGUGAUGGAUAAGACUUUAUGAACAUAGUCCUCCAGCCAUUUUUCAUCACUUGUGUUAGAAAGAGGUUGUCUUGAAAAUAUAUCUGCAAUAUUUUGCUUUCCUUGAAUGAAUUCAAUUUCAAAGUCAUAUGGUUGUAAUCUCCAACUCAAUCUUUGGAUUCUUGGAGGCAAAACAGCUCCAUUUUUAGGAUUCAGCAUAUAGAUUAGAGGUUUGUGAUCUGUUUUUAACACAAAUUUCCUUCCCCAAAUAUAGGUGUUAAAAUGUUCAAUUGCCCAUACACAUCCCAAUGUCUCUUUUUCUAUUUGUGAAUAUCUUUUUUCAGUAUCAGUUAAGGAUCUGCUGACAUAUGCAAUGGGUCUUUUAAUGCCAUUUUGUUGUGUUUGUAUUAAUACUGCUCCAAGACCAAUAGGGCUUGCAUCUGUGAUUAAUUCAGUUGGUGAGUUCAAGUUGUAAUAUGCCAAGCAUGGCUCUUUUGUUAGUGACUCUUUAAGAUCCUGAAAUGCUUUAUUUGUUUUCAAAUCCCAAUUCCACCUAACAUUUUUUUCUAGUCAAAUUAUUUAGAGGUUCUGCCAAUUUAGAAAAAUUAGGUAUGAAUUUUCUUAAAAACCCACAAGUUCCUAAGAAUGACCUUAACAUCUCAAUAUUUUUUGGUAUUGGAAAAUUUAAGACUGCUUCUAUUUUCUUAUUAUCAGGUUUAAUACCUUCACUACUAACAAUGUGACCUAAAAUAUCCAAUUCUUCCAUGGCAAAUUUGCACUUAUUCCUGUUGAGCCUAAUGCCUACUUUAUCAAAUCUUUAUAAGACUUUUCUAAGCCUUUCUUCUAGUUCUUGUCUAUCUUUGGCGUAAACUACGACAUCGUCCAAGUAACAAAUUACACCUUUCAAAUCAAGCAAAAUUGAAUCCAUUCCUUUCUGAUAUGCCUCUGGAGCACUUGAUAGACCAAAAGGAACUUUACAAAAUCUGUAACAACCACGGUGCGUGAUGAAAGUUGUAAGGGGUCUUGAUUGAGGGUCUAAGUCAACCUGCCAAAACCCUUUUUUUUGCAUCCAGCUUUGCAAAUACUUAAGCACCUUUAAGGGCAUGUAACAUAUUGUCAAUUGUAGGAAUUGGAUGUCUUUCUCUCAAUAUUGCUUUAUUCACUUCCCGAAGGUCUAUGCAUAGUCUAAUUUCCUCACUAUCCCUUUUUGUAACAACUAUUAUGUUAGAAACCCAUUCAGAACCUUGAUGCACUUCUUCAAUGAUUCCAUUCUCUAGCAUCUUAUCAAGCUCUUGAUUUACUGCUUCUACCAUUGCAUAAGGUAUACGACGGCAUCUCUGGGCAAUGGGCCUAUAGUUGUCUUUCAAUGUCACUUCAUGACUAUAGCCUUUUAUAGUUCCAAGUCCAUGGAAAAGAUGUUCAUGUUCUUGAACAAGAGUUUCUAUAUUAGUAGACAUUGAUUCAUUUACAUGAUUUACCCUUUUAAUUAUACCUAGUUCAAAACUAGCCUUGCCUCCCAACAAAGAUUCAACUUUUUUAACAAUCACAUAAAUUUCUUCUGAAAUUGAAUUUUCUUUUCAAGAAAUCACAGCAUUGAAAUAACCAUAACAUGGAAGAGAUCUAUCUUGACCAUAGGCAAAAAAGGUUCGGGUGGUGUAAUGUAAUUUUGGCAUAAUUUUAUGGCCAUAUAAUUCAAGCAUCUUAUUAUAGCUUAUGAAAGUUCUAUCACUCCCUGUAUCAAUUAUCAUAUUUAUUUCACUACCAUCUAUUUGCACUUUUUCUUUAUUUUCAGCACCUGUAUAGUAGGUAUAUUCAUCUGAACUUUCACCUACUUCAGUCUUAUUUUCUUCUUGUAUGGUCUUAACUUUAGUUUGAUUGAAACUUUUGUGGUUUCUAUUAUUAUUUUGAUUUGGGCGGUUCCUGCAAGCUCUAAAAAGAUGUCCUAAUUUAUUGCAAUAUGAACAAGUCAUUUUUUAGCACCACAUUCUUGUGCUGAAUGUGUAUCUAAUCCACAGCGAUAACAUUUAGGCUUUGAGGCACCUGAAAAUGAUGAGGUACCUUGAUUAGUGAAUCUACCUUUGUUGAAAUUAUUAGCAUUAUAGUGCUUUUUAGGUUUAAUUUGAACUCUAUUUAGUGUUUGAUCAUUUUGAGGUUCAAGAAGUCUAAUUUCUUUUCUAGAAAUUUCUAACAUUCUAGCAAUAUCAAUGGUUUUUUGACAGUGUCAAAUUUUCUUGUUGCAACAAUUUUUCUUUAAGUUUUUUGUUGUUACAUUUUUCAAUUAUUUGGUCUCUUAUCAUAUCAGCUUCUAAAUUCUCAAAUUCACAAGAUUUAGAAAGCUCUCUUAAAGAAAUUAGGUAGUUGUCGAUCGAUUCAUCAUCUUUCUGGACUCUUUGUGUAAAUUUAAAUCUCUCAGUGACCACAUUUUUAUGAGGUGUGAAAUAUUUAUCUAAGGCCAUUUUAGUUUGUUCAUAAUUUUCUUUUUCAUCUGGCAAGUUGAAAAAUAUACGUUGUACAUUUGGCCCUAAACAAUGCAAUAGAGUUGUUCUCUUAAUUUCAUCCGAUUUUUUUGUAAUUCCAGAUGCUAUUUCAAAAAUGGCAUAGGAUUCCAUCCAUUGCUUAUAUUCCGCAAAUAAAUUGCUAGCAUUCAUAUUCAUGGGUAAAGGUGGCGUCAGGUUGGCUGCCAUACUUGUUUUUUUUUUAGGGCUACAGUUAUAUUUUCAAAUUCUCGUCGCCAAUUUAUGUUGUAUAGUUAUUAAUUAAACAUUACUGUUACGCAAACUUUGACUUUUAUCAUCAUCGAUGCUGACGUCACUUCCAACUUCUACCUUCAACCUUGCUGUUAUGUUUAUCGCUAGCUUGUUUUAACAAUAUUUGUAUUGGAACAAGUCGUUCCUUAAAUAAAUAUAUAUUUGUUUUUAUCUAAAGGGAUGUCCUCGUAACUAAAACAUACGUGAGUACAAAAACAACUAGAAAUCCUUAAAAAAGAAACAUCGUAUUUUUGCUAAGCCUAUAUCAAUUUGGUAGCAGAGCGUGGUUUGGGCGCGCGAAUUGGACUAACCGCCAAUUGAUCCAUUUAAAUCAAAAAGAAAUUAAAUAAUUGGACUAACCGCCAAUUUAGAAAGAAAAAAGUUGAAUAAAAAUGGAUACAUAUAACUUAGCAAAAAUUGAACAGUUAACAGAAAACAACUAUACAACGUGGUCCAUAAAAAUGGAAGCAAUUCUAGAUUCAAAAGAUCUCUUCGAGGACGUAAUUGUUAAUGACGAGCCAGAUUUUACAAAUAAUAAACUAGAAUAUGAUAUUUGGAAGAAAAAGAAUCGGGAAGCAUACAGCCUAAUAAUAUUGUCACUUUCUGAUGACUUAACAAUCAUCUUUCGAGGCGAUAAAAGGGCCAAAAGAAUUUGGUACGACAUAAAGAAAAGGUUUGAAGGAUCUCUAGAAAAUAAAAGGAUAGACCUAAUGUUGGAUCUAGCCAGACUAAAAUUGACCCCAAAUGAAAAUGUUAACAUGUAUAUUGUACGAGCACAGAAACUGGCACAAGAGAUCACCCAGCUAGGAAAGACAGUAACAGAAAGAGAGCUUGUACGAUACAUUGUUGAAGGACUCGCACCUAACUUUGACACGAUCACAGCAGCACUGUCAUUAAACAGAGAAAUCUCCUUACCAGACUUGAGACAAACUCUACUGGAUUUUGAGAAGAAAAGACAGGACAGAAGCAAAAAUCAUGAAAAUGCUUUCAGAUCAUCAGGCAACCAAUUCAAAGAAAAGUCAUGCUUCAUUUGCAAAAGAAAAGGACAUUUCAAGAAAGACUGUUGGUUCAACCCUAACAACAAAGGAAUUCAAAAGAAUACAACAAACAAAAAUAACAUGGCCAGUACAAGGAACUACCAUAAAGGACCAAAACAAAACAAAGACACGGCCAGAUCAGCAAUCCAAGAACGAACGGAGGAACCAUCCCAACGAAAAGACUCCACUUCAGAAUACGCACUACAUGUAAGCACAAGGGAGGAACGCCCGACGACACAGGACGUGUGGAUAAUUGAUUCUGCGUGCACAAGCCACAUGACUUCCCAUGGUGAAUGGAUCGAGCACAAGAAGGAGGAGAGAAGAAGCAUACAAGUGGCGGAAGAAGGGAGACACAUCGAAUCUGCCUCAUCAGGAUCAAUCCAAGCUACUGUACAAGGUAAGGACAAACUUAACAACGCUGUAACCCUGCAUAAUGUCCUCCAUGUACCACACCUGAAAGGAAAUCUAAUGUCCAUUCCAAGCGUAGUAAGAAGAGGGAACUCUGUUCUUUUGAAUUCUGAAAGAGCAUACAUAUACUCUUCUGAUGACAAGCUAAUAGGAACAGGCAACUUUGAUGGUAACAUGUACACAUUGAACCUAUCACGUUUAUCUGAAGCAACUCAUGUUCCAAAUGAACAUUGCUUGAUUUCAAAGGACAAUUCUAGGACUGCAUGGCACAGAAGGUUAGGACAUCCUUGUGACAACAAAUAAGACCUGAUUUUUGAAGAACAAUCUUCUAAAAGGCUUGAACUCUAUAAAUGGUACCCUUGAUCAAUGUGAUGUUUGCUCCUUGGGAAAAAUGACCAAAGUACCCUAUGUUCACACAGAUAGCAAUCAGGAAAGCUACCCCUUUGAAGCCAUUUAUGUCGAUCUCUGUGGUCCAAUGAGAAUAAACUCCUUGGGCGGAAGUAAAUAUUUCUUGACCAUCGUAGAUAUAUUUUCUAGGAGAAUAUUUGUAGAAUUUCUCAAAGAUAAACUCUCAGCAGCAGAAGUUUUGAAGAAGUUUAUUGUAAAGAGAGAAAACGAGCUAAACUCAAAACUAAAACGACUUAGAACAGAUAACGGAACAGAAUUUAUCAAUAAAAACCUUGAAACCUUCAUAGAAUCCAAAGGAAUUAAACAUGAACUAACUACACCGUACACCCCAAGAAGCAAUGGGAGAGUUGAAUGAGCUAACAGAACACUAUUAGACAAAGGCCUAACACUUCUGGCAGACUCCCAAUUACCCCUACACUUCUGGGCAGAAGCUGUGAAUACAGCUGCAUAUCUGUACAAUCUAACUCCCACAACCAAUGACCCAGACACUACCCCUAUGGAAAAAUGGAAAGGUAAAAAGCCAUCCGUCUCUCACAUCAUGAGAUUUGGUUGUGAAGUCUUCUAUAAACUCGAGAAUCAUCAAAGACACAAACUAGAAGCUAAAUCUAAGAGAGGAAUAUUUGUGGGCUAUUCAAGAUGCAGAAGAGCUUAUCGAGUAUUUGAUAUCACAGCGAAAGGUUAUUCUUGAAACCGCAGACAUUCACUUCAGAGAGAACAAUAAUGUCAUCUCGGAAGAAAAACAAAGUGAUAAUAAUACGGACACUGACACAUAUUUCUUCAUUCAGGAGGAUGAACAACUGGACAAUCAUGUUCUAUCAGAUGUUGAUAUUGAAGAGCCAGCACCAGAUACCAUGAUCAACAGACAGACAGAGUCAAGUGGAUCAGACAGACCACAAAGAACUCGAACAAUACCUAAAAGAUUCGAUGACUACGUUCUGGCUACUAUAAAUGAAACCAUUCCGAAAGACUAUGAUGAAGCCAUUGCAUGCGAAGACAAGAAACUUUGGGAGAACGCAAUGCUUGAGAAAAUACAGAACAUGUACUCGCAUCAAGUAUGGGAACUGGUACCUAGACCUGUAAACGCUAAAGUUGUCAAAAGUAAAUGGGUGUUCAAAAUAUCUAAAGACCAAGAAAACAAAAACAAAACUUACAAAGCUAGACUUGUUGCAAUGGGAUACAACCAAAUCCCAGGAAGAGAUUACAACGAAAGUUUCAGCCCUGUAAUUAAAAAUGCCACCCUCAGGACUAUUUUGUCAAUGACAGCAACAAAAUAUUCAGUCAUUAAACUAUUUGAUGUGAAAGCAGCCUAUCUAAAUGGAAACAUUGAAAACACAAUAUUCAUGGAACAACCUGAUGGAUUUGUCCAAGACAGAAACAAAGUUUGCAAACUCAACAAAAGUAUUUACGGUCUACCUCAAUCCGGAAGAUCGUGGUAUGAGAAAUUCAGUCAAGUACUUCAUGACUGUGGACUGGAAGAACUUAAAUCUGAUCCUUGCCUAUUUAAAUGGAAGAAUGAAGAUAAAUACUUCUAUGUAGGGAUAUAUGUUGAUGACUUUAUCACUGUCUCAGAUUCUGAAGAUACCUCAAACAGAUUCAUCAAUAAAUUGAGACAUCACCUGGAAAUAAAGGAUGUAACAUGUAAAGGCAUGUUUUUGGGAAUCAAGAUCAUAUAAGACAGGAGGGAAUUUUGCUACAGCAAAGCCACUAUGUACAACAAAUAUUGCAGAAAUAUGGAAUGGAAACUUGUAAGGAAGUUCCAACACCAGGUUCCAAAGAAAUAAAUUUGGACAAUCAUAUUGAAGAUGACAAUUGAGAUCAGCACACUUACCAAGAAGCCCUUGGAAUGCUAAUGUUUCUAGCUGUUAACACCAGACCCGACAUCGCUUACAUCACUAGCAAACUUUCACAGUACUCCAGACAACCAAAACAGAUGCACUGGACAGCAAUCAAAAGAGUGAUGAGAUACCUACGAGGAACAAUUGACCUAGGAGUGAAAUUUGAAAGAGGAAAGACUGGAAUACUGAAGUCCUACACCGAUGCCAGCUGGUCGACCACUCAUGAUGGAAAAUCCUACGGCGGAUAUGUAUUGAAGCUCGGCGUAGCAACUAUAGACUGGAAAAGUAGUAAACAACCACUCGUCGCCCUCUCCACAAUGGAAGCGGAAAUGAUAGCUGCUUGUGAAAGCUGCUGUCGAAUCAAGUGGAUAAUAAACCUGCUAUGAGAGCUGGAAGAAUGGAAUUUCAUGGAAAAACCAACUGCGAUCUAUACAGACUGUCAGUCAUUGAUCAACU